rnacentral:rRNA from 1 species
GACGAACGCUGGCGGCGUGCCUAAUACAUGCAAGUCGAGCGCAGGAAAUCGACGGAACCCUUCGGGGGGAAGUCGACGGAAUGAGCGGCGGACGGGUGAGUAACACGUAAAGAACCUGCCCUCAGGUCUGGGAUAACCACGAGAAAUCGGGGCUAAUACCGGAUGGGUCAUCGGACCGCAUGGUCCGAGGAUGAAAGGCGCUUCGGCGUCGCCUGGGGAUGGCUUUGCGGUGCGUUAGCUAGUUGGUGGGGUAAGGGCCCACCAAGGCGACGAUGCAUAGCCGACCUGAGAGGGUGAUCGGCCACACUGGGACUGAGACACGGCCCAGACUCCUACGGGAGGCAGCAGUAGGGAAUCUUCCACAAUGGACGAAAGUCUGAUGGAGCAACGCCGCGCGAACGAUGAAGGCCUUCGGGUCGUAAAGUUCUGUUGUAAGGGAAGAACAAGUGCCGCAGGCAAUGGCGGCACCUUGACGGUACCUUGCGAGAAAGCCACGGCUAACUACGUGCCAGCCGCCGCCGUAA